rnacentral:rRNA from 1 species
UACGUAGGGCGCAAGCGUUAUCCGGAAUUAUUGGGCGUAAAGAGCUCGUAGGCGGUUUGUCGCGUCUGCUGUGAAAUUCCGAGGCUCAACCUCGGGCUUGCAGUGGGUACGGGCAGACUAGAGUGCGGUAGGGGAGAUUGGAAUUCCUGGUGUAGCGGUGGAAUGCGCAGAUAUCAGGAGGAACACCGAUGGCGAAGGCAGAUCUCUGGGCCGUAACUGACGCUGAGGAGCGAAAGGGUGGGGAGCAAACAGG